ensembl:lncRNA
AUGGAUCUGCAAAUCUCAGUUUUUCUUCUGUUCAUUCUUUUCACUGCAGGGCACUCUCUCAUGUGUUAUGAGUGUGUGGAUCUGAUGGGUUCCUGUGCAAAUCAAAAUGCGACAACAUGUCCCAUUGGAUCUACCAGUUGCAUGAGUAUAACAACCGUGACAGAAGUUGGUCCCAUUAAGCUGACCAGUACAACUAAACUGUGUACACCUUUAUGUGAACCCGGGACCCAACAGCUCCCGACUGGGUCAAUAACUACCCAGUGCUGUAACACUGACCUCUGCAAUGCUGCAGAUGGCAUGUAUAAGGGAAGCUUCCUCCUGCUGUUGUCUCCGCUGCUCUUCUACUUCCUGUUUCAGUGAAGACACUUCAGCGAAAAACUGAAUGUCACACACGUUUCUAGUCAUACUUUACUGAAUGAAGUGUGCAAGUUGUUCUGCUGUACUUUGGUAUCAUAAUUUGGGGAACAGAAAAUCUGUAUUUUACUAAACAUAUUAAACAAAUAGUGCAUCAACACUGUAACAGACAAAUAAUUAUUAAAAAUUACAAAAUUAAUAUAUGUGUUUACAAUAUCUGCAGUAAUUUUGUAGCGUGCUCAGUCAAGACUAUAUAUUUCCCUUAUAUUUUCUCUUCCCCUUUCUUUUCAUAUAUAUUCAAAUAUGUAUUUGCCUAUAAAAAUAAAAUGAAUAAUAGAAGGCAAUAAAGAAUUAAACAGAGUGCUAAACUUCUGCAAUAAAAGAUUUACGUAUAUUAAACAUCUUUCUCUGCAUUCUCCUUAAUUUACUUUAAGUCUAGUUGGGUUUAAAGGUGCAGUAAGUGAUUUCUGAGAAACCAUGAUGAUAUUUGACAUCGACACUAAAAUAAAGACACACCGUCCCUUUACUGCUCCAUCCAGACAAACUCUCCAAUCUGUCCUGUUACUAUAGCAGAUAUUUCAACAUCAUAUCUUGGUUCUUGGUGCAACAUAUUGAGCAGAAAUAAAAGAACCUUGGUAUCUGUUUUUAGGGCUUCCUGCUUUCGAACAAACAAAUGAAGUAUUUAACUUAUCUUAAUGCUGAAAUAUGCCGUUGUUGUAAAUGAGUGAGACAAAACAUUAUACUGUACUGUAUAUAUAAUAAUAACUAACACGCAACAAAUGGUAAAGCUAUUUGUGCUACAAACCAGUGUGUUUAUGAUUAUGAUAAUAAAUUAUAAUAAAAUGUCCUCCUCUGUACACAUGCACAGUUCAGUUGAAUGAAAAAGUUUACUUUAUCUCUGAAAUAAAUAUAGGAAGCAAACUGUCUGCUAGACCACAACAUUACAUUUGCUUUAAGUACACUAUGAUGUUUAAAUCAAAUUUAGUAUUUUAUUUGUGAUAAUCAGCUACUGUAUUAUCUAUUCAUUUCAGACGAGAAAGCUUCUUUUAUCAAAGCUUUUUCAAUGCAAACAUGGACUUCUAAUUAUUGUCACGACACGCACACAAACAGGUAGAUCCAAAAGCAGUGUUUUAUUAAGAGUAAUCCAAAAUCAUAAUCCAGCCAGGCAAAGGUCAAAAUCCAGGUGAGCAGUCCAAAAACCAGAAACAUACACAAUGGCAAGGAAACACGAACUACAGGGAGACAUGAAACAAGGACUCCGUAACAAAGACAGAAACAAACCAGGUAUAUAUAGACAGGUGCAAACAAUGUAAGUGGGAACAGCUUCAAUGAACAUUGAUGAGUACCAACAAGACUUGUGGGAAAUGUAGUUCUGAAGUGGGGUGACGAUAAGGGGAAGUGAGACCUCUAAUGGACACCCCGGGAUACACAAACCAGACACUGUGACAAUUAUGUUUGGGUGUGACUGUGAUAUCUGUCAGGUUAUGAGUUGAGAUUAAUUAUAAGUUUGUACUGCAUCACAACAUUUCAUUAAACAUCGGUCUGUCACUACACAAACACACAUCCAAGGAGACAAAAGGUUUGACUGAGGUAUAACAACAUUAAUAUUUAUAAUUAAAUACCUUUAUAUUUAAUAUUAUAAAUUAUUAUCAUAAAUAAAAAUUGAUUCACUGUUUGCUUUGGUGGUUAUUUUUAUUAAGCUUGUACUGAAAUAUUGCUUAAAACAAUACAUUGAUUUAUCAAAAGUGCUCAUAUUUGUUGCUUGUUUACAACAAAACUAUUUACAUUUAAUUUCAUCAGAACAUAUGUAUGACCAUUUUUCCCCCCUCAUUUCUUUUCUUAUGUUAGCCCACUUUUUGUUCUUUAAUUUGAUUAUUUUGCUAUAAUCUGUUAUUAUCCUUUAGUACUCCUAGUUUUUAUGUUAAAAACUUUAAAUACAAACAUACAUAUUGUAUAUGCAUAAAGAGCGAUAUUUACACAACCUGAUGGAUUCUAGGUCAUUAAAUCUUCUAACGUCUCAAGUCUGAUCCUUCAUUAUCUCACAGAAAAGGAAACUAUGGUUCUUCUGCAGAAUAAAAGAAGAAGAUAAUUAAAGACCUUUGGAGCCCAAACAACACUGAACCCCAGUGGGUUUCAUUUUAUGACAAAAACACACACAAACACAGAGACAUUUUUCACAUAUCUUAUUUGUGUUCCACUAAAGAAAGAACGUCAAACAGGCUUGGGAUGACAUGAAUAAAUGAUGACAGAAUUGUCACUUUUGGGUAAUCUGUCCGUUUAAAAUGGUUUAAGUAGACUGUAAUUCCUUAUCAAACAUCCCAUCGAGACCUGUGUUAAACUUUAACAUAAAGACCCAAAAAGGAAUAGAGCAAGCUAGUGUUAGAGGCCUUUUUAAAACAAAUAGAUAGAAUACAAAAAGAUUAUAAUAGUUUUUUUAAGAAAACAAGCAGUGUUUAAAAGGGACAAGUUUUUUUAAAGAUUAGAAUUAGAAUAGAGAGUGCUUGAGUUAAAGUGUCAAAUAAAGAUGUUUCAUUUGUUUUCUCUCAGAUUUUUCUGCUAACAAAAAAAAAAAAACAGUUUGAAAUGAGAAAAAAUAUAAAUGUUGACCAAUUUAUCAUCAAAAUAAUGUGCACAGUUUUUUUUCUGAAUCAUUCAUUGUUUUUAGGUGGCAUCAGUGCUAACGUGAAGACCGCUGCAUUACAGCAACAGGUGAGAAUCUGCUUAAGGAGGAAGAAAGAAGAUUAAAGUUUUUUUUUUUUUUUUUUUUGUAUGUUUAAACAUUUAGUACAUACCAUUAUAGACCAGUAAAACUUAGACUCAACCUGUGUUUUCUUUCUUUUCAUCAGAGAGUUUCAAAGGCCAGUUAAUGGUUCUAAAAGACUGUGUCUCUAAAUCUAUGUGUAAUACCAAAACAUCGGUUAGAGAUGUUCAGAGCGUCUCAUGUUGUUCAGGGAACCUGUGUAACGGUGUUCAGAGCAUCACUCAGAGCUUCCUGUUCCUCUGCUGUUCUCUGCUCUCCUUCAUCCUGCUGCACUGAAUCCAGCAGCUCUUCACAUUCACCUCUACAAUCAGACACACUGCACUGAAUAUAGAGCUUAAGUUUUCUCUCUACUAUAUUUGGCAUGUUGUGAUAAAUGUAAAAAGAUGUACAGAAUCUGAUUAAUUAUAUUUAAAAAACAGUUUUACAGUUUUAUGAAUUAAAAUACAACAAUCACCUUUAGACUUUUUCUGGGUUUAUUUUCAAUAAAGCACAAUGCAUGCAUAAGACAAGAAAUUUGUUAAUUCUACUGUUAAUCAGAGGAUAUAAUUAGCCUAUCUUUUAGGCUAUACAAUAGUCAAAGGGGUACAAUAAUUUGAAAAGAGCUGAACUACUUUCACUUUACUAAAAAUAUAAUUAAGUUACUAGCUGACUGAUAUGUUUUUAAUUGCCAAUCUCUUGUCAACGAUCGCUGAUAUGAAGCUGAUAUUAACAACAUAAUUCAACUGGAUAGAUAAAGUUAGAUGACAAACUAUCUGUUUGAAAGUUUUACUCAGAAAUCCAAAAAGGUCAAUCAGUUUCAAUAAGUUGCUAACAUGCUUUAUAGUGCUGUCAAAUUAUUAAUCGCAUCCAUAUCCAUAUAUUUACAUGUAUAUAAAUGUAGAUAUUUAUAUUAUUAUAUUGUUUUAUUAUAUAUAAAUAUAUAACAUAUAAACAUAACAUAUUUUUCUUAAAUAUAUACAUGCAUGUGUUGGUAUUUAUAUAUACAUAUACAUACAGUAGUACACACUCAUAUAUUAUGUAAACAAAACUUUUAUUUUGGAUGCGAUUAAAUCGCGAUUAAUCGUUUGAUAGCACUAAUGCUUUAGCAUGUUCCUAACAUGUUUUAACAAGUUGCUAGCAUGUUUUAUUAAAAUGUUUUAACAUGUUGCUAGGAUGUUUUGACAAGUUGCUAACAUGUUUUAACAAUAAUAUUGGUAACUUUAAUAAAUUGUUAACAAGUUGAGAUGUUUUAGCAUGUUGCUAGAAUAUUUCCAGCAUGAUUUAACACAUUGCUAGUACCUAACAUGUUUAAACAAAUUGCUAGCAUGUUUUAAUAAACAUAAUAAACAACAACAACAAAAACUAAAAAUGCACUUAGCAUAAUUUACCAGAAGGUGUCAGCAGGUGAUCUCUUGUACCAAAACAACACUUUGCACUUGUGGAAACUACAUGCUGAACAACCGAACCAAACGGGCUUUAAGUGAAAAAUCAUCAUCUUCUAAACUCCCAUGAAGAUUGACAGUGCUUAUUGAUUGGCCUCUGAUACUAAUAAACAGAUCAAUAAUUGGAUAAAGUAAAAACUGUUGCAGAAAAUGUAAAAAUCAAAUGAUGCCCAUUGUGUAGUAGCCUAUGUUUGAGCUCAAAUCUAAUCUUGUGCAUUUGACAUGACAAUAAUAUUAACAUCUUUUACUAAAGCAAUCACAUGGGUUGCUAAAUAUGUAUUGUGUUUGUCUCUUGUACAACAAAACUCAAAACACCCAACACAAGCUGCUGUCUGAUCAAUCAGAGGUUAUCAGAAAUCUUUGUGCUGAUUUAUUUAAAGCUAUAGACUGACAGGGGCGUUGUACAAGAUCCCGGGCCCUAAGCGGAGGCAGUCCUGAUGGGCCCCCAUGAAAAUAUCUAGGUAAAAUAAAAUAUAUUCCAGACUUUUCAAGGCCCCUCUCUUCCUUUUUCUGGCCCUGGUAAUCAGUACUUGUUUUACCCCCAGUCCGACACCCCUGUAGACUGAGUUCCACAUUUAAUCAAUAACUGAACUUUGACAUAGUCCCAUUCUGAGCAAAAGACCCAGCAUAUCAGCAGCACUGACCGUGACAGAGCUGCAGCGUGUUGCUGUGUCUCUGACCUG